AGGUUUCCGUAGGUGAACCUGCGGAAGGAUCAUUAAUGAAAUCAAGGAUGCUCUUUUUAGAGAUCCGACCAUAUUCAUUUCCAACACUGUGCACAAACACAUUUUACACCUUUUUAAUACGUAAAGUAUAUAGGAAUGUUUUUGCCUCUUCAAGGAGCAUAAAUAAUCAAAACUUUCAGCAACGGAUCUCUUGGCUCUCGCAUCGAUGAAGAACGCAGCGAAAUGCGAUACGUAAUGUGAAUUGCAGAAUUCAGUGAAUCAUCGAAUCUUUGAACGCACCUUGCACUAUUUGGUAUUCCGAAGAGUAUGUCUGUUUGAGUGUCAUGAAUCUCUCAACUCCCCUAUUUUGUAAUGCAAUGGGUGUGGGCUUGGAUUAUGGUUGUUUGUAGGUUUACGAGCCUGCUCAACUAAAAUAUAUCAGCUGCUCAACUUGGAGACAGAACGGUUUGACUCGGCGUAAUAAACAUUUCGCUGAGGACGUUUAGUAUCCAAAAAAUGGCGCUUCAAAUGAAUUAUUCAAUGUAAAUUUUAGACCUCAAAUCAGAUAGGAUUACCCGCUGAACUUAAGCAUAUCAAUAAGCGGAGGAAAAGAAACUAACAAGGAUUCCCCUAGUAACGGCGAGUGAAGUGGGAAAAGCUCAACUUUGUAAUCUGACAGCUUCGUUGUCCGAGUUGUAGUCUCGAGAAGUGUUUUCCGA
rnacentral:rRNA from 1 species